rnacentral:lncRNA from 1 species
GGAGAGCAAUCUUUUCUCCCAUAUUGCCCAUUCCUGAGACCUCGCUGACCAAGCUGCCCAUUGGCACAAGGAGGUGAGGGGCUACCCCAGGAACCGGCUUCACCUGUCCCGCAAGCUCCGGAAGCAUGCUCACAGUCUAGGGACGAGCUCACAGUCUGAGGAGAUGAACCGCUGGUGAUUCCAACUCGCUUCCCAUCAAAAGGGAAGGCAAGACGUUGGAUGAACCUGGAUGGCUGAACUUUCGGCGGUUGAGAAGUGGUGACCUGGAAUCGCUGACCUCCCGGAAGUCAUCGGAUUUGAUGAGAGCGCUUUCUAAAGAGGGCUGGAGAGCAAGAGCCGUCCUAUGACCUCAGAAGGAAACAACCUCCAGACCAAAUGUCCUCUCCUGUGCCAACUGGCAUAACCUCCUUCUUGAGGAAGACUCAGUGAGAAAGAAUUAGUCGAGUCAAGAUUCGCAUCCUAAACGGGUCCCCAGGUACUUUAUGUAUUCUGACGGAAAGAUAACGGGACAUCAUGAAAAAAUACAUUAACUGACAUUGUCAUCACCAGCAGCACCGAUCGUUUACUGUGUGCAGAGCGUUGUACUAAGUGCUUGGACACCGGCCAGAGAUGUGAGAGGUCAGUCUCCUCCUCUCAAGAGCCUACAGUCUAAUUGCUGUUAUUAUUAUUAUUGCUUCAAUUAAGAAGCUGCUUC